rnacentral:rRNA from 1 species
CCUACGGGAGGCAGCAGUGAGGAAUAUUGGUCAAUGGGCGGGAGCCUGAACCAGCCAAGUCGCGUGAGGGACGACGGUCCUAUGGAUUGUAAACCUCUUUUGUCGGGGAACAAAGGCGCCCACGGGUGGGCGGAUGAGAGUACCCGGAGAAAAAGCAUCGGCUAACUCCGUGCCAGCAGCCGCGGUAAUCCGGAGGAUGCGAGCGUUAUCCGGUUUUAUGGGGGUUAAGGGGUGUGUAGGCGGAUCGUUAAGUCCGUGGUCAAAUUGAGGGGCUCAACCCCUUCCCGCCAUUGAAACUGGCGCUCUUGAGUGGAAGAGAAGUAUGCGGAAUGCGUGGUGUAGCGGUGAAAUGCAUAGAUAUCACGCAGAACCCCGAUUGCGAAGGCAGCAUGCCGGCUUCCGACUGACGCUGAAGCACGAAAGCGUGGGGAUCGAACAGGAUUAGAUACCCUAGUAGUC